rnacentral:rRNA from 1 species
UACGUAGGGGGCAAGCGUUGUCCGGAUUUAUUGGGCGUAAAGAGCUCGUAGGCGGUUUGGUAAGUCAGGUGUGAAAUCUCCACGCUCAACGUGGAGGGGCCACCUGAUACUGCCAUGACUGGAGUCCGGUAGAGGAGAGUGGAAUUCCUGGUGUAGCGGUGAAAUGCGCAGAUAUCAGGAAGAACACCAAUGGCGAAAGCAGCUCUCUGGGACGGUACUGACGCUGAGACGCGAAAGCGUGGGGAGCGAACAGG